CUAAUGAAAGCAUAAAAAUUGAGGAAAAUGAUAAGAUUUUCUUAUGAAAACUUUAAAUGAAAGAAUAUGGAAAAACCUCUUUAAUGAACAUUUUGAAUUAAAGAAAAUUGACAGACCUCAAUAUGAAAAUUGGAAUUACUGAAAAUGGUUAGACCUCUAAAUGAAAAUUUCAAUUAAAGAAAAUGGUUAGACCUCUUAAUGAAAACUUUUGAUUAAAGAAUAUAGUAAGAUGUUUUUAUGAAAACUUUGAAAUAAAGAAAGUGGUCAGGCUUUGUAAUGAACUAUGACAAAAGUAUGAGAAAAAUUGUUUUUGUACAAGUUUCACAUGCAGUACCAUCUAAGCAAAUAUUUCACUGGGAAAGACUUUGCCCAGUAUAUGUAAUUAUUACUAUCAGGUUGUUGCCAUAGAAACCUUUUGUUGUUGUUUGUCUCUUUUUUAGAAGAUAAAUACAGUGUAUGUGGGCAGAGCAUCACUUUUAUAGAUGUUUUUUUUUCUUCUUUCCUUUGUAUAUCUAUACUUGUAUAUAAUUGCGAAGAAAAAUAACAAAACUGUGUAUAUUUUCUUGUUUACCUGUAAAUAGCAUUGGUUGAAUUUCAUUCCAUUUAUUUGAAUUUUAUAUACCAUGUUAAAAGUAUAAUGGUUUAUCAGGUUUUUAAUCCUUUUAUAAAUUUAUUGUAUGAUAUGUUAGAGAAUAUAUAUAUGUAGAUUUUAUGAAUCUGUUUUUCACAAGGGAUAUGAGACUUCUGUUGAAUUUUACGAGGGCCGCUUUUGUGUAUUUUUAUGUUUGUCAAAUCAUCAAUUUGUUUAGUUUUGACCACAGUUUGAAUGAAUUAAAAAUUUUAGCAUCAAUUUUUAUAAAUUUUUAGUUUGAGUGAGGUAGGUCAAAGGCAUUGAUUUUAAAGGUCCUUUAAAAUUAUUGUUGUUCAAAGGUCGCACAGUUGUUUUUCUGUUGUCCUUUUGUAGAAUUUUAUUUGCACAGUAAUAAAAUGAUGUAUUUUAUUAAUGAUGAAAUAACAUUUUUGAUAAAUUAUCAUUUAAAAGAUCACAUCACCAUAUUUGACCUCCUAAUUUUGUGCUUAAAUCUUCCUUUUUUUUCUUCUUUUUUUUCUCUUUGAUUAUGCUAUAUUGAUUAAAAUAAUUUUUUAGCUUUUUCCAUUCUGACAUUAUUUUUUUUUGUAGAUUUUUUUCUCUACGCUGCCAGAGAGCCUGUUCAAUAGUAUUAGUAUUGGCUUUCUCUAAUUAUUGUUUAAAACCAUUUAGUCUUUUUUAUUAUUUUUGCAAUGUUUAGUUUGUGUGUGCAAACUUGUUAUGAUUUUCUUUAGAUGUGUAUAUUUGAUUAUAUUGUACAUGCGCUUUUUUAUGUUUUAUUUGCUUAUCAAAUUGUUUUUAAGCUUUUCCUAGAGCAAUACAAAUGUUUAGAAUAUAUACACACAUAUGUAUAUAUAUAACAUAAUACAUAUAUACACAUAUGUACAUUCAUAUACACAUAUGUACAUAUGCUGAUAGACAUGAGUAAACUAUGCAGUAUUUUACGUAAAAAAAGAUUUUAUAACUUGUA